AGAUACGGGUAUACGAUCGGAAGUCAAGAACUGGGGUAAAUAUGACGGAGUAAUACAUGGACAGAGUGAAUAAUUUCUAUUGAAUAUUAUAAAGGAAACAUGAUAUAAUUGGACAAAAGUUAAAACCACGGAAUGUCUGACAAUUGCCGUGUGUCUGAGGCCCUGUACGUGGGUCUGUGUUGUUAUAUAGGGACACCGACAGAGGUGACCGUCAGGAGGGAGGUGAUGGACAUGGCGGAGAUGAUAACGAAACAUGUACAGAUAGAUGAUGGUAUGAGAGAGAUGAAGAGUGGUAGUUAUAGGGAAGGUUUUAGGUUUGAAUCUUCUGACAUGGACACAAUGUUCUGGUAUACCAAUCAUAAAGUGAUAACUGACCUAUCACAGUCCAGUGUUUAUGAUCUAUCAAAACAUUCAAUUAUACUCAUGGAGGACACUGAAACAUCACCGGGGUUUGUUAGACUACAACUUCUGACGUCACCACGAGAUAGGAUCAUUGAAUCGUCAGUUGUUCCAUAUAAUGACGGCAUGUACAUAUCAUGUGUGAGAUGGAGACAAAUAAUGCUUACUACGGUUAGUAGAAGGAAAUUCUUUAACUAUGCAAACUCCCAUGGUCCUUGUGCAAACGGGUUCAUUGGUGACAUAGAAACUGACUAUGCUCUUUGUUUUCAUUGUUCCUACUGGUCAAGAUUAACCUGUUGUUGGAGAACAAGAUGUACCCUGCAUAACUGGCCUCCAAACCAUGUGUUUGGUGAUAUUCUUGGGAAUGGUUGUCAUUUUGUGCCUGUCGGAAAUAAAAAAGCCGCCGAUGAAAAUGAACUUGAUUGGAGAUUAUCGUUUUCUCAGGCAGAACAAAAACUAGUGUAUUCUAUGAAUCAUACGCAAUUUCUGUGUUACGGACUUUUGAAAAUAUUUCUAAAAGAAGUCAUUAAUCUUGGCAUAGAAGAACCAUUCAUGUGUUCAUAUUUUGUGAAGACAACGAUGUUCUGGCUGAUACAAAUAGGGCAUUUCACAUGGUGUCCAGAUAACCUAUUGGAUUGUUUCUGGAAAUGUUUUAAAUAUUUGUUACAAAGCGUUCAUCGUGGUGUGUUUCCAAACUUUUUUGUCCCACAGAACAACAUGUUUGCCAGUAAAUUGUCUACAGUUAAAGGUGCGCGCGCACGCAGGUGUCUGUUAGAGCAGCUUAACAUGCAUUACGAAAUGGGCGUGACCUGUUUGUUACAAAGUCCGACGGUCAGAGAAAUGAUUGAACCAGUUAUAUGUAACAGUUUUGUCAGAAUAGAAACACUUCUA
rnacentral:misc_RNA from 1 species